UACGUAGGGUGCAAGCGUUAAUCGGAAUUACUGGGCGUAAAGCGCGCGCAGGCGGUCUUCCAAGUCAGUGGUGAAAGCCCGGAGCUCAACUCCGGAAUUGCCAUUGAAACUGUGAGACUGGAGUACGAGAGAGGUGAGUGGAAUUCCCAGUGUAGAGGUGAAAUUCGUAGAUAUUGGGAAGAACACCGGUGGCGAAGGCGGCUCACUGGCUCGUAACUGACGCUCAGGCGCGACAGCGUGGGGAUCAAACAGG
rnacentral:rRNA from 1 species